AGUCACUGACAUUAGAUACCCGCGUAGUCCAGGGUGUAAACGCUGCAGACUUGGUGUUGGGAACCCUUCGGGGGUGCUCAGUGCCGGAGAGAAGUUGUUAAGCCUGCUACUUGGGGAGUACGUCCGCAAGGAUGAAACUUAAAGGAAUUGGCGGGGGAGCACCGCAACGGGAGGAGCGUGCGGUUUAAUUGGAUUCAACGACCGAAAAACUCACCAGCAGCGACUGUUACAUGAAAGUCAGGUUGAUGACCUUACUAGAUUUUCAG
rnacentral:rRNA from 1 species